CACGCGCGCCGUCUCCCCCCGGAGGCGUCUGGGUGAGCGGAGCGCGGGCGCGCGCGCGCGAGGCUCGGAGGCGCACCUGUGAGGUGUCCCCCGGAGAGGGCCGGUGGGCGCGCGGAGUCCGCGGCCUAGACGCGCUCCUCCGCCGCACUUGGGAGUGAGUUGGGCCGGCCGACGCACUGCGCAGCCCCGGCCGAGGUCGCCCAGCAUCCCGCCGAGGUGAUGAGGACCUCCCCGCUGCCCCAGCAAGUCCGGCUGCCGCCGCCGGACGCCUCCAUUGUUUGACCACCGCCUGGGCCCGGCUCCCCGCAGACCUGCAAGUCCAAGAGACGUGUCUCUGGAAGACAAGAGCUGCCUCUUCGGGAUCAAAAAAAGAAAACCAGCGUGCUACUGUAUAGAGUCCCCAGGAGCAAGACUGGCUGUGCCUGGAGCCAAGGAACCUUCAUGCUGUCAAGGCCUGCCAUCUGAUGGGCAGGAGGCAGAGCGACAUUCUGACUCUUUUUGGAGAGCUACCGGGGCUCACCAUCAGCUGGCACCUUCUGCCCUGGGCAGACAGAUCACUACACAGGCUUUGUUUUAUGGGUGAAAAGUAGAAGAGUACUGCACAUCAGAAAGAAUCCAGGGUCUCAAAACAGAGGCUUACUCUUUCCUGCCCCUGGAAUGUUGACUACAAGGGAUCUAAAGGAAAGAAAGCUCUGUGCUGAGGAGCUAUGGGAUUCAUAUGAAAGCCAGUGCGACUUCGUAAUCAGUAAGAGCUGAGUGAGGAACACUAUGCAGGAAGAAGCCUUCCACAGAAAGACAGGCAGGGAGAAGCUGAGGCUGAUGGUAAGCUUGCCCAAUAGAGCAGGCCUGAGAUAGACUGCCAAGAUGGCAAAAUAAGACGCUUUAUGAAGUAGCAGUCCUGGAACUCAGAGUUAUAAGGACACUUUCUUCUCUAAGUCACGAUACCAAAUAGGAAAAAUGAUCUACAAGUGCCCCAUGUGCAGGGAAUUUUUCUCUGAGAGAGCAGAUCUUUUUAUGCACCAGAAAAUCCACACAGCAGAGAAACCCCAUAAAUGUGACAAGUGUGAUAAGGGUUUCUUUCACAUAUCAGAACUUCAUAUUCAUUGGCGAGACCACACAGGAGAGAAGGUCUAUAAAUGUGAUGAUUGUGGUAAGGAUUUUAGCACGACAACAAAACUUAAUAGACAUAAGAAAAUCCACACUGUGGAAAAGCCCUAUAAAUGCUAUGAGUGUGGCAAAGCCUUCAACUGGAGCUCCCAUCUUCAAAUCCACAUGAGAGUCCACACUGGUGAGAAGCCGUAUGUCUGCAGUGAGUGUGGGAGGGGUUUCAGUAAUAGUUCUAACCUUUGUAUGCACCAGAGAGUCCACACUGGGGAGAAGCCCUUCAAAUGUGAAGAGUGUGGGAAAGCCUUCAG